GAAGAUGCAGUGUACCCGCGGCAAGACGGAAAGACCCCGUGAACCUUUACUAUAGCUUGACACUGAACAUUGAGCCUUGAUGUGUAGGAUAGGUGGGAGGCUUUGAAGUGUGGACGCCAGUCUGCAUGGAGCCAACCUUGAAAUACCACCCUUUAAUGUUUGAUGUUCUAACGUGGACCCGUAAUCCGGGUUGCGGACAGUGUCUGGUGGGUAGUUUGACUGGGGCGGUCUCCUCCUAAAGAGUAACGGAGGAGCACGAAGGUUGGCUAAUCCUGGUCGGACAUCAGGAGGUUAGUGCAAUGGCAUAAGCCAGCUUGACUGCGAGCGUGACGGCGCGAGCAGGUGCGAAAGCAGGUCAUAGUGAUCCGGUGGUUCUGAAUGGAAGGGCCAUCGCUCAACGGAUAAAAGGUACUCCGGGGAUAACAGGCUGAUACCGCCCAAGAGUUCAUAUCGACGGCGGUGUUUGGCACCUCGAUGUCGGCUCAUCACAUCCUGGGGCUGAAGUAGGUCCCAAGGGUAUGGCUGUUCGCCAUUUAAAGUGGUACGCGAGCUGGGUUUAGAACGUCGUGAGACAGUUCGGUCCCUAUCUGCCGUGGGCGCUGGAGAACUGAGGGGGGCUGCUCCUAGUACGAGAGGACCGGAGUGGACGCAUCACUGGUGUUCGGGUUGUCAUGCCAAUGGCACUGCCCGGUAGCUAAAUGCGGAAGAGAUAAGUGCUGAAAGCAUCUAAGCACGAAACUUGCCCCGAGAUGAGUUCUCCCUGAGACUUUAGGUCUCCUGAAGGAACGUUGAAGACGACGACGUUGAUAGGCCGGGUGUGUAAGCGCAGCGAUGCGUUGAGCUAACCGGUACUAAUGAACCGUGAGGCUUAACCUUACAACGCCGAAG
rnacentral:rRNA from 1 species